rnacentral:rRNA from 1 species
CAACAGGGAUUGCCUUAGUAACGGCGAGUGAAGCGGCAACAGCUCAAAUUUGAAAUCUGGCCCUUGGGUCCGAAUUGUAAUUUGUAGAGGAUGAUUUUGGUGCGGUAUCUUCCGAGUUCCUUGGAACAGGACGCCUUAGAGGGUGAGAGCCCCGUACGGUUGAAUGCCUAGCCUCUGUAAAUCUCCUUCGACGAGUCGAGUAGUUUGGGAAUGCUGCUCUAAAUGGGAGGUAAAUUUCUUCUAAAGCUAAAUAUUGGCCAGAGACCGAUAGCGCACAAGUAGAGUGAUCGAAAGAUGAAAAGCACUUUGAAAAGAGGGUUAAAUAGCACGUGAAAUUGUUGAAAGGGAAGGAUUUGUGACCAGACUUUUUCUGGGCGGAUCAUCCGGGGUUCUCUCCGGUGCACUUCGCCCAGUAAAGGCCAGCAUCGGUUUUCGGCGUGGGAUAAAAGCAGUAGGAAUGUGGCUCUCUACGGGGAGUGUUAUAGCCUAUUGUAUAAUACCGCGCUGGGGACCGAGGUUCGCGCUUCUGCAAGGAUGCUGGCGUAAUGGUUAUCAAUCACCCGUCUUGAAACACGGACCAAGGAGUCGAACAUUUGUGCGAGUGUUUGGGUGUUAAACCCUCACGCGUAAUGAAAGUGAACGGAGGUGAGAGCCCUUACGGGUGCAUCAUCGACCGAUCCUGAAGUUUUCGGAUGGAUUUGAGUAAGAGCAUAACUGUUCGGACCCGAAAGAUGGUGAACUAUGCGUGGAUAGGGUGAAGCCAGAGGAAACUCUGGUGGAGGCUCGCAGCGGUUCUGACGUGCAAAUCGAUCGUCAAAUCUGCGCAUGGGGGCGAAAGACUA